ACACUCCUACGGGAGGCAGCAGUGGGGAAUUUUGGACAAUGGGCGAAAGCCUGAUCCAGCAAUGCCGCGUGAGUGGAGAAGGCCUUCGGGUUGUAAAGCUCUUUUGUCAGGGAAGAAACGGUGAGAGCUAAUAUCUUUUGCUAAUGACGGUACCUGAAGAAUAAGCACCGGCUAACUACGUGCCAGCAGCCGCGGUAAUACGUAGGGUGCAAGCGUUAAUCGGAAUUACUGGGCGUAAAGCGUGCGCAGGCGGUUUUGUAAGUCUGAUGUGAAAUCCCCGGGCUCAACCUGGGAAUUGCAUUGGAGACUGCAAGGCUAGAAUCUGGCAGAGGGGGGUAGAAUUCCACGUGUAGCAGUGAAAUGCGUAGAUAUGUGGAGGAACACCGAUGGCGAAGGCAGCCCCCUGGGUCAAGAUUGACGCUCAUGCACGAAAGCGUGGGGAGCAAACAGGAUUAGAAACCCGGGUAGUCCCAUGAU
rnacentral:rRNA from 1 species